UAGCUGCAGUAUUUUGACUGUACAAAGGUAGCAUAAUCAUUAGUCUUUUAAUUGGAGACUGGAAUGAAUGGUUGGACGUAAUACAAACUUUUUUUAUUUCAUAAUUUUUUAAAUUGGAUUUUAAGUAAAAAUACUUAAUUUUUAAAAAGGGACGAGAAGACCCUAUAGAAUUUUAUAGUAAAAGUGAAAAAUUUAUUUUUUGGUUGGGGUGACAAGGAAUUAACUUUCUUAUUUUAUUUCACAUAUAGGUGAAUUUUUGAUCCUAAGUUUUAGAUUUAAAGAUAAAAUUACCUUAGGGAUAACAGCAUAAUUUUUUUUGAAAGAUCUUAUUUAUGAAGAAGAUUAUGACCUCGAUGUUGAAUUAAGWUAAUUUUUAGGKGKAGA
rnacentral:rRNA from 1 species